UCCACAGUGGCGCAGUGAUUAGUGCUGUUGUCUCACAAUAAGCCGGCUCUGGGUUUGAGCCCCAGCUGGGCAG